UAUUAUAGGACUUGUUGUGUUUUAGGAAAGCCAGGCUGUUUGACUUACCAAGAACUGGCCAAACUGCAUAAACUGAAAAGACAAAAACACUUUUAAUAUUAUUCAAGUUUAAUUGUGGUACAUUGAUACAGUAUUGUUAUUCCAAGUUUCUCGGUUUAAUUUUAUUCCAGUUCACACUUUGCUGCACUUUACAGACACUUCCAUUAUAGACCAUGUUGAAGAUACAGUUGGCGCUAAAUGCUGUGUGGACCCAAUCAGCGAUGAGCUGACGAAUCUCGCACUUGGCAGAGGCUGAUUGAGGGAAUUUUUUCGUGGCUCCGAGAUACCUUUUUGAAUAGGAAAACAUUUUAAUUCUCAUACUUAGGAUUUCCGGCUUUAAGAAGAGUUUUAAAAAUGUUUAACAAUGAACGCAGGCUAGGGCAGUGUACGUACCGUCAGCAUAAUCUGGUGCCAGCAAACGAAUAAAGACGGUUGAUUCUUUGCCGCGACUUGGAAACGCGAUAUUGUUGCAUUCUCCGGUGUGCGUGCGAUAUUUAUUCCGAGCACAAGCAGGUUGGACGUUGGGAUUUAAAAAGUCCUUUAAAGGAAUAACCGGCCUAAAAUAAAAAUUCGAUAGAAAUGUUUUUAAAAUUGCAUUAUACCUAAAUAUAUCCUUUAUAUGCAUAUAUCCGGUAUUAGACAUUUAGACGUGAACGAGAAAAAAUUAAAUUGUUUACUGUUCUUGGACGACACAAUCCGGUACUUUAGAACUGCUUGGUAACGGUGUCGUUGUAGUAGUCUUUCGCACAAUAACGAAUUGUGGAGUUGUCGUAGUAAACACUUGAAAUUGUGGCGCCUCCGACGGCUCCGUGGUUUCAGUGAAAGUGGUUGUUGGCCGUGUGCUGGGCGGACGCGAGCUCGGGAAAACAAAGCUUCCGGCUGGUGCCGGUACUGGUCGUUGUACUGCUGUAAUUUCCGAGCUCGGAGGAGCCGGAGCCACAGUAACCAGCGGAAGGGCAACCGUAGCGGUGGAUUUAUUAAAAUUCAACCUGGAACGCAUUGUAUGCGUUUAUUACACAGAACUAUAUAUAUUAAAGACGCAAUUGUGAUUCGCCACUUCUUCACUAUGAAAUUAAUUAAAAUAAAUAAAGCACAAAGUAAGUAGCGAGCUGCAACUAGGCUUACUGUUUGGCCACAGAUUUUCCGAACUCUUCCAGUGUAAAUGCAUUUUUGGCGAUAUCCAAAGAACCCGGUUGCGUACCGGCAAACAUAUUGCUCAUGCUCCCUGUUGAUCCAAACGAUAAUUGGGGAAAGGAAUUAGCAGUCAUGCCUUGGCUUGGAAAUGUUCCGAAUUGCGUGUUGGACUUCAUCGCUGCUUCGUUCAUUUUAUUUUGCACGAAAUUCUGCGGAACAACCCAGGCAUUCUUUUGGAACAUUUCAUUUAUUUGAUCCUGUAAAUUUUGGUUAAAUGUAUUUGUAUUCCAGUUAACAGAGGGGAAACUGAUGGACAUGGGAGCAGGCGCCGGAAACGUGGAAAACUUUGCCGGUGGCGAAGGUGAUAAAGAAAAAACAUUACUAUUUGGCAUUUCGAUAGUUGGAAACGUUGGGAAAUUCUGGCCAGUUACAGGCAUCGAUGGAAACUGCAUGGUUCCCAUAGGAGUGAAUGGUGGGAACGUCAUUGCCUCCAUACUGUUCGUACCGGCACUGGAAAAGGAUGUCGCUGCUGCUGGAGCCGGCGAAAAUGAAAAAGAUGGUUUAAAAGAAAAUGAGCCGAAGGGAUUUUGAAACGACUGCCCAAAAGGCUGAUUAAAAAAUGGUUGACUAAAUAAGUUAGUAUUCGGCUGAAAAACAGGACUCGGUGAACUAAGGAAAGCAUCAUCGUUGCCACUGCGGCCGAAGAAACUGUCAUGAUCGUCGUCGUCAUUGUCAUCGAAAAAUGUAUCCUUUGCCGUAACGAUAUUAUUAAAACACUGUACGCAUAUUAUCACAGUAAAAAAGUACCAAAACUUUUUGUGGUGUAUCAUGGUCGACGUUGCUAAUAUUGCCAUGUAAAACUCACAGACACGGCGGUUUCGAAAACGUCCCUAGCACACCUGACAAACAAAACCAGGUUGAACUUCGCUGCGGACAAAGCGUUACUGGUUUCAUUAUAUAAUAUUUUGAUGUUUUUAUGCCAUUGGGUAGAAUACUCAGACGCUCUUCUUUAGUGGACAAAAUAGAAUCGUCUAUCAAUCAUAAAUUCUUUUAUGUGGAUUAGCUUUUUUCUGCCUUAGUCAU